rnacentral:rRNA from 1 species
GCAAGUCGAGCGAGUGGAGUUCUUCGGAACAAAGCUAGCGGCGGACGGCUGAGUAACACGUGGGCAACCUGCCUCAUAGAGGGGAAUAGCCUCCCGAAAGGGAGAUUAAUACCGCAUAAGAUUGUAGCUUCGCAUGAAGUAGCAAUUAAAGGAGCAAUCCGCUAUGAGAUGGGCCCGCGGCGCAUUAGCUAGUUGGUGAGGUAACGGCUCACCAAGGCGACGAUGCGUAGCCGACCUGAGAGGGUGAUCGGCCACAUUGGGACUGAGACACGGCCCAGACUCCUACGGGAGGCAGCAGUGGGGAAUAUUGCACAAUGGGGGAAACCCUGAUGCAGCAAUGCCGCGUGAGUGAUGACGGCCUUCGGGUUGUAAGGCUCUGUCUUCGGGGACGAUAAUGACGGUACCCGAGGAGGAAGCCACGGCUAACUACGUGCCAGCAGCCGCGGUAAUACGUAGGUGGCAAGCGUUGUCCGGAUUUACUGGGCGUAAAGGGAGCGUAGGCGGAUUUUUAAGUGAGAUGUGAAAUACCCGGGCUUAACUUGGGUGCUGCAUUUCAAACUGGAAGUCUAGAGUGCAGGAGAGGAGAAGGGAAUUCCUAGUGUAGCGGUGAAAUGCGUAGAGAUUAGGAAGAACACCAGUGGCGAAGGCGCUUCUCUGGACUGUAACUGACGCUGAGGCUCGAAAGCGUGGGGAGCAAACAGGAUUAGAUACCCCGGUAGUCCACGCCGUANACGAUGAAUACUAGGUGUAGNGGUUGUCAUGACCUCUGUGCCGCCGCUAACGCAUUAAGUAUUCCGCCUGGGGAGUACGGUCGCAAGAUUAAACUCAAAGGAAUUGACGGGGG